CACGGGGGGCGCAAGCGUUGUUCGGAAUCACUGGGCGUAAAGGGCGUCUAGGCGGUCAGAUAAGUGGGAUGUGAAAUGCCCCGGCUCACCCGGGGACCGGCAUCCCAAACUGUCUGGCUUGAGUAUGGGAGAGGAUGUGGGAAUUCCUGGUGUAGCGGUGAAAUGCGUAGAUAUCAGGAGGAACACCGGUGGCGAAGGCGCACAUCUGGCCCAAUACUGACGCUAAAGCGCGAAAGCUAGGGGAGCAAACGGG
rnacentral:rRNA from 1 species